rnacentral:rRNA from 1 species
CAGUCGCCACGGUAAUACGUAGGGUGCGAGCGUUAAUCGGAAUUACUGGGCGUAAAGCGUGCGCAGGCGGUUCGUUAAGGCAGAUGUGAAAUCCCCGGGCUUAACCUGGGAACUGCAUUUGUGACUGGCGAGCUAGAGUAUGGCAGAGGGGGGUAGAAUUCCACGUGUAGCAGUGAAAUGCGUAGAGAUGUGGAGGAAUACCGAUGGCGAAGGCAGCCCCCUGGGCCAAUACUGACGCUCAUGCACGAAAGCGUGGGGAGCAAACGGGAUUAGAUACCCCUGUAGUCCCUGUCUCUUAUAC